GCUGGGCAUGGUGGCUCAUGUCUAUAAUCCUAGCACUUUGGGAGGCUGAGGUGGGUGGAUCGCCUGAGGUCAGGAGUUCUAGACUAGCCUGGCCAACAUGGCGAAACCCCAUCUCUA
rfam:Pan troglodytes isolate Yerkes chimp pedigree #C0471 (Clint) chromosome 21, whole genome shotgun sequence.